rnacentral:rRNA from 1 species
UCGAGAAUUUUUCUCAAUGGGCGCAAGCCUGAAGGAGCGACGCCGCGUGGGGGAUGAAGGGUUUCGAUCCGUAAACCCCUGUCAUUUGUGAACAAUGGUUAGUGUUUAAGAGAUGCUGACUUGAUAGUAAUGAAAGAGGAAGGGACGGCUAACUCUGUGCUAGCAGCCGCGGUAAUACAGAGGUCCCGAGCGUUGUUCGGAUUCACUGGGCGUAAAGGGUGCGUAGGUGGCUUGGAAAGUUUGAUGUGAAAGCUCAGGGCUUAACCCUGAAAUGGCAUUGAAUACUGCCGGGCUGGAGGUUUGGAGGGGGGACUGGAAUUCUUGGUGUAGCAGUGAAAUGCGUAGAUAUCAAGAGGAACACCAGUGGCGAAGGCGAGUCCCUGGACGAUACCUGACACUGAGGCACGAAAGCUAGGGGAGCAAAC